GAAUUAAUUGGGGAAUUUAAACCAAUUCCUAUUGUAAGUGAUAAAACUAUUAAAAUUUAUAUCAGAUCAUAUCAGGGUGAUUGAAAUGAGGAAAUGAGGAAGGGUGGUGAUCAGGUAUUUUUGGGGGAAGAAAGAAGGGAGGGUGAGUCCCUCAGGGGUAAUCCCCACCCCCUUCAAUUUGAGAAUAUGCUAUUAUCUUGUAAACGGUUUAGAUCCCCACCCCUAAACCAAAUAUAUUCUUGAAUGGGACAAUAAAACGAAUCAAUUUAAAUUAAAGGGAAGUCCCUGGGGGUCACCCCACCCCGUUCAAUUAGAGAAUGUGUUAUUAUCUUGUAAACGGUUUAGAUCCCCACCCCUAAACCAUAUAUAUUCUUGAAUGGGAUUAUAAAACAAAUCAAUUAAAAUUAAAGGUUAGUCCCUGGGG
rnacentral:lncRNA from 1 species